GCUGGUGAAAGAAUGCAUUGGAGCCAUUGCCCCCGAUUCUCCUAAGCCCUCUGCUGAUAUUUCCUGUGAUGGGCCUGAAAAGAUCAAGAGACUUGGAAUUUUUAGAAGGAUUGCGGACACAUUUAGGAGACUGGGUGAAAGAAUUAAGAACCGUUUUAAGAAUGCAAUUGAUAACACAAUUAACAAGUUGCUCCCGUAGGAAGUGAGAUUCUUAUGUGAGACUGAGCCUCAAUUUCUGUUUAAGGCCCUGGACUCUGCCUUGGUCUCCUCAGAUUAAUAAACUCCAAUUUUAUUC